rnacentral:rRNA from 1 species
AUGAACGCUGGCGGCGUGCCUCAUACAUGCAAGUCGAGCGAACAGACGAGGAGCUUGCUCCUCUGACGUUAGCGGCGGACGGGUGAGUAACACGUGGAUAACCUACCUAUAAGACUGGGAUAACUUCGGGAAACCGGAGCUAAUACCGGAUAAUAUAUUGAACCGCAUGGUUCAAUAGUGAAAGACGGUUUUGCUGUCACUUAUAGAUGGAUCCGCGCCGCAUUAGCUAGUUGGUAAGGUAACGGCUUACCAAGGCAACGAUGCGUAGCCGACCUGAGAGGGUGAUCGGCCACACUGGAACUGAGACACGGUCCAGACUCCUACGGGAGGCAGCAGUAGGGAAUCUUCCGCAAUGGGCGAGAGCCUGACGGAGCAACGCCGCGUGAGUGAUGAAGGUCUUCGGAUCGUAAAACUCUGUUAUUAGGGAAGAACAAAUGUGUAAGUAACUAUGCACGUCUUGACGGUACCUAAUCAGAAAGCCACGGCUAACUACGUG